AACAGCUGUUUCUCUCUUCCACAAGACCAAUCUAGAGAGAGACAACACAACUCAACACUUUCACAUUCCUUCAUUUGAGUUUGAGUUUGAGUUUUGUUGUUGCAAGUAGUGAAGUUGUAACUCCUGUCAUGUUUGUUUGUUUGCAUUUGAAGAGGUUGAGUAAAAUUUUUGUAGUUAAUUUAAUUUAAGUGGAGUCAAAUUUAAGACAAGACAAAGUUAACACAACAACAACUUGAAGAACAGAAACCAAGGCAAAAGUUGUCUCCUUUUAUUACUCUCGUUGUUGGAUCAAGUCUCGUGUUCUUGAUCUAAGUCUCAAAAUUGUGUCUUUAUGAAUCUUUGUUGCUGAAGAUGGAGCAGCAGCACAGGCAAUCUUCCAGUAUUCUUAGAGGGUAUAGAAUUCAAGCUCCAUUGGUUGAUUCUGUAUCAUGCUAUUGCAAAGUAGAUUCUGGACUAAAAACUGUUGCUGAAGCAAGGAAAUUUGUCCCGGGAUCAAAACUUUGUAUCCAGCCUGAUAUCAAUCCCAAUGCACACAAAAGCAAAAGCUCACGUAGGGAGAGGAGCAGAAUCCAGCCACCACUCCUCCCUGGUCUUCCUGAUGAUCUUGCUAUUGCAUGUUUGAUUCGAGUUCCUCGUGCUGAACAUCGAAAACUUCGUUUGGUUUGUAAGAGAUGGUCUCGCCUCCUAAACGGAAACUUUUUUUAUUCUCUUAGAAAAAGCCUGGGAAUGGCUGAAGAGUGGGUUUAUGUUUUCAAGCGAGAUCGUGAUGGAAAGAUCUCAUGGAAUGCUUUUGAUCCUGUCUAUCAGCUCUGGCAACCACUUCCACCGGUUCCGAAAGAAUAUUCUGAGGCCCUAGGUUUUGGCUGUGCUGUUCUUAGUGGUUGUCACCUGUACUUAUUCGGAGGAAAGGAUCCACUGAGGGGUUCUAUGCGACGGGUCAUCUUCUACAGUGCACGGACAAAUAAAUGGCAUAGGGCACCUGAUAUGCUUCGGAAACGUCAUUUCUUUGGUUCUUGUGUUAUAAAUAACUGCCUAUAUGUGGCUGGUGGGGAAUGUGAAGGAACCCAAAGAACUCUCCGCUCUGCUGAAGUUUAUGAUCCCAACAAGAACCGUUGGAGCUUUAUUUCGGAUAUGAGCACAGCCAUGGUGCCCUUUAUAGGGGUUGUAUAUGAUGGAAAGUGGUUUCUAAAAGGUCUUGGGUCCCACCGUGAAGUCAUGAGUGAAGCCUAUGAUCCUGAAACAAAUGCCUGGACUCCAAUCAGUGCCGGUAUGGUUGCAGGUUGGCGUAACCCGAGCAUCUCCUUAAAUGGACGGCUUUAUGCUUUGGAUUGCCGGGAUGGGUGCAAGCUUAGGGUUUACGAUGGAGCUACAGACACAUGGAGCAGAUUUAUAGAUAGCAAGAUUCAUAUGGGGAGCUCACGCGCAUUGGAGGCUGCUGCAAUUGUUCCCUUGAAUGGGAAGCUUUGCAUCAUCCGCAACAACAUGAGCAUUAGUCUGGUUGAUGUUUCUAGUCCUGACAAACAGGUUGAGACUAACCCUCACCUGUGGGAAAAUAUUUCUGGGAAAACUGGUCAUUUAAGGGCUCUUGUCACAAAUUUAUUGUCUAGCAUAGCCGGCCGAAGUGGUCCUAAAAGUCAUAUUGUUCACUGUCAGGUGCUUCAAGCCUGAGGAUCAGGAUUGCUUUUGCUCAUGCUUCCCAUACCAUUCUUGCAUUUCCAUCACUUUGUCGUGAUAGGUUUACAUUUGCAGUUUCACCUAUUCGGGAAUCUGCAUAUGCUCUCUUUACCGCACUGUUCUUACAGUUUUGUGGAGAUUGAACCUUGGGAGGGAUUUCGAGUUACUCUUGACAAGUUGUUUUAUCAUAUUGAGGCUUGAGAACGCAAUGAAUGAGUACUCUUGUGCAUGUUUCCGAGAAGCUGACAAGAACAUAUACAGUGAAAUUCUCAUCCACAUUUCAGUCGAGGCCACUAUGGUGACCAGCGACACAUUUCAUGUCAUCAACCUGUAUUUACAAGGCAAGGUGGAUUCACUGUUGAUUUCGAUAUACAAGGUUUGACGCUCAAACUCCUCGUGCGAUCAUCUCCUGAUAGCGUUUGAAAGACUCCUCUCUCUGAAUCCUCAACUGAUUCUUGAAGUUCCUAAUGAAAGCAUCAGCUUGAGUAUUGAUGUCUCCCUUCUCAUCAUCCUCCACAAUCAACCCUCUUGUCCUCCUCUCUCCUCUCUUCAUAUCUCCCUUCUUGAUAGUGUCAUUCAUCUCAUGGCGACGAUGCAUUGAAACCUCUCCUCGGCGCUCCAUAUAAAUGCUCGAUUGAUUAAGUCAAGUUUCCAGCUUUCAGAAAAUGAAUGUAAUUGAGAUAUGUCGUCGUGAUGAUAACAAAACAUCACAACCCUGAAUUUAUACCUUUGUUCUAAACUUAGAAGCAUGAGUUUGGUGUGACUAAAAGCAGAAGAAACAGCAGAAAGAGGCCAUUGGAGUGAUAAGAUUUGCUUGCUUAUAUUAUAAGCUGAGAAGCAACAUUGUGAUAGUGAAAGCUUAAAAGAAAUGCCAACAGAAUGCCUUACUUUAUAAUGAAAAGCAACUUUUCUUUCUUUAUAAGGCAUUGUGUGUCAUUCUUUAUUCAUAAUUUCUUAAAUUAUGGAUGAAAUAUUUUGAUUCCGACGCGUCGA